CCAUGCUCGUCGAUCAUAGAAACAUCUUCGUUUCUCAACAGAUCGAAAUCAAGACAAAGAAAUGCAGUCGGUGGAAAGUCGGCGAAACCUUGAUCUCCGGCGAACCUCCUUGUUUCCAAUUGGUGAGUCUAUCCUCUAAUCCCAGUACCCAAUUCAUUAUGUGUUCAAUUUUACGAAUUGAAGUCUGACUUGGUUUCUCCUUCUUUUUCAACUCACCACCGUGUUUGCCACAAUCCUCCUCCGCCAUCUCAACGGCUCAGUGGACCCCUACGACCUUGAUUCUUCAAUUCUUGUCUUCAACUUCGACGACCUUCAUUUUAUAACCCAGAUACCAAGCCGAGCUUGGAUUGGUCUUAGCAGCAAUGAAGCAGCCUCAGAAGCAAGUAGGAGACCUCGGGCACCAACUGCAUGUAUUGAUGUUCUUCGUUGAGAGUUGAUGCAAUGAAAUCGUACAAAGUUGGAGUUGCAUCAUCAUCAUUAUUUCGGAACUAUAAUAGCAACGAGGAUUAUGCACUUCAAUCCAAGUAGGGUGAGCUAACCCCCUUUGUGUAUUUUGUACCUUUAAAUUCAUUGUCGAUGCCUCGGUUGAUGUAUUUAAAUGUUAAAUGAAAUGCAUUAUUGCUUUAUAAAUGCUAAAACCCGAUGAUAGACGGAUACUUCAUGAGUGAGUAGACCUGAGAGUGAAUGGGGCACGGUAUUCCGAUAACUCCUUGGUGUCAAUAACCGUA